UACGUAGGGUGCGAGCGUUGUCCGGAAUUAUUGGGCGUAAAGAGCUCGUAGGCGGUCUGUCGCGUCUGCUGUGAAAUCUGGGGGCUCAACCCCCAGCCUGCAGUGGGUACGGGCAGACUAGAGUGCGGUAGGGGAGAUUGGAACUCCUGGUGUAGCGGUGGAAUGCGCAGAUAUCAGGAAGAACACCGAUGGCGAAGGCAGAUCUCUGGGCCGUAACUGACGCUGAGGAGCGAAAGCGUGGGGAGCGAACAGG
rnacentral:rRNA from 1 species